CCUACGGGAGGCAGCAGUGAGGAAUAUUGGUCAAUGGACGAGAGUCUGAACCAGCCAAGUAGCGUGAAGGAUGACUGCCCUAUGGGUUGUAAACUUCUUUUAUAUGGGAAUAAAAUGUUCCACGUGUGGGAUUUUGUAUGUACCAUAUGAAUAAGGAUCGGCUAACUCCGUGCCAGCAGCCGCGGUAAUACGGAGGAUCCGAGCGUUAUCCGGAUUUAUUGGGUUUAAAGGGCGCGUAGGUGGAUUGUUAAGUCAGUUGUGAAAGUUUGCGGCUCAACCGUAAAAUUGCAGUUGAAACUGGCAGUCUUGAGUACAGUAGAGGUGGUCGGAAUUCGUGGUGUAGCGGUGAAAUGCUUAGAUAUCACGAAGAACUCCGAUUGCGAAGGCAGUUCACUGGACUGCAACUGACACUGAGGCUCGAAAGUGUGGGUAUCAAACAGGAUUAGAUACCCUUGUAGUC
rnacentral:rRNA from 1 species